rnacentral:rRNA from 1 species
UUGACCUCAAAUCAGGUAGGACUACCCGCUGAACUUAAGCAUAUCAAUAAGCGGAGGAAAAGAAACUAACAAGGAUUCCCCUAGUAACUGCGAGUGAAGCGGGAAAAGCUCAAAUUUAAAAUCUGGCAGUCUUUGGCUGUCCGAGUUGUAAUCUAGAGAAGUGUUAUCCGCGCUGGACCGUGUACAAGUCUCCUGGAAUGGAGCGUCAUAGAGGGUGAGAAUCCCGUCUUUGACACGGACUGCCAGGGCUUUGUGAUGCGCUCUCAAAGAGUCGAGUUGUUUGGGAAUGCAGCUCAAAAUGGGUGGUAAAUUCCAUCUAAAGCUAAAUAUUGGCGAGAGACCGAUAGCGAACAAGUACCGUGAGGGAAAGAUGAAAAGAACUUUGGAAAGAGAGUUAAACAGUACGUGAAAUUGCUGAAAGGGAAACGCUUGAAGUCAGUCGCAUUGGCUGAGAAUCAACCUUGCUUUUGCUUGGUGUACUUCUUAGUUAAUGGGUCAACAUCAAUUUUGACUGUUGGAUAAAGUCUGAAGGAAUGUGGCAUCUUCGGAUGUGUUAUAGCCUUUAGUUGCAUAC